rnacentral:rRNA from 1 species
UACGUAGGGUGCAAGCGUUUGUCCGGAAUUAUUGGGCGUAAAGAGCUCGUAGGCGGUUUGUCGCGUCUGCUGUGAAAACUCGGGGCUUAACUCCGGGCCUGCAGCCGAUACGGGCAGGCUAGAGUUCGGUAGGGGAGACUGGAAUUCCUGGUGUAGCGGUGAAAUGCGCAGAUAUCAGGAGGAACACCGAUGGCGAAGGCAGGUCUCUGGGCCAUAACUGACGCUGAGAAGCGAAAGCAUGGGGAGCGAACAGG